rnacentral:lncRNA from 1 species
UGUUUUUGCACUGCGUUUUUGGAUAGCCUGCAAAACUGUUGUUGAUCGCAAGUCAUUUUGCAGAUGCUUUUAUCCAGAGUGACUUAAUCUUAAGAUGACUAGGUGAGAUUCAAGAGCUUGAAGAUGAGAUGGAAAGUUGAAUCAGCCUACCCUGGCCAAACCCAGACGACGCUGGGCCAAUUGUGCGCCGCCCUGUGGGACUCCCAAUCACGUCCAGUUGUGGUACAGCCUGGAAUAAAACCAGGGUCUGUAGUGACGCCUCCAGCACUGAGAUGCAGUGCCUUAGACCCCUGCGCCACUCAGGAGCGAAUGUUAUGAUUAAUAGGAGGGUAUAAAUACUUGUGCUGGUGGAAACAUGACUUUGUCUUUGCAGC